rnacentral:tRNA from 2 species
GCGGGAGUGGUGAAAUUGGCAGACACGCAGGAUUUAGGUUCCUGUGCCCGAAAGGGCGUGCGGGUUCAAGUCCCGCCUUCCGCA